UAGAUUUCAGCUUGUUAUCGAAGGAAGUAGGAAGAUUAGCGAUGGGGUUAACCAAGGUUGGUGUAAUGGUGGGUUUAAAAGAACAUACCGGAUCUAAUGAAAGAUUCUCCAUGAGCAUGUUCAACAUACCGGAUCGAAUGAAAGAUUCUCCAUGAGCACGUUCAACAAAAAUUAAAUUUAUUUAUAGCGUUAAAAAUAGAAAUUUUCAUUAAGUAUAUUUGAACGUUAUGGAUAAUAAAAAUGAAUAAAUUACGUUCUCUUGAUUUUGUAAAUAUAAAGAACGUCCAAAACGAAAAUCGUAUGAGAAAGUUACGCUUCUUUAAAGGUAUAAAAAUCAAUAUUUAUCUAAUUUUCCUGAAACAAACCGUGCACUGCUUCGUUUGGGAUAGUUAUGAGUCUCGUAAACUAUUUUUGAACACGUUUUUGAAUUCAGAUUAUGUAUACAAUUAUAAUAUUGUAAUAGCACUACUAUACACAUGUAUACAAUUAUAAUUUUAUAACAACACUACUAUACACAUGCAUAUAUAAGUCAUAGAGCCUCCAAACACUAAUAUCAAUCAUGUACAAUAAAUUUUGGCUCCCAUUUACUUGCAAUACUCGAUUUCCCAUACAUAUAUCAUAUACAUAUAUAACCAACCACUAAUAUGUGUAUAAACACAUUAUAUGUAAAUAUAUAUGUAUACAAUUUCCCAUACAUAUUGUACUAUACAACUGCACACUCAAAUAAAUAAUACACAAAAGAAGUUUAAGAAAAUAUUGCGACGGUACAACUAAAUCCAAAAAAAUCUAAAAUCAUGUUCCUACAAUACCACACACAUAAGGAAUACCACACACAAUGAAAUUGGACAAUCCUACACUCAAAGCAAAACAUAUUAUAAACAAUUCAAUUGAAGCUGUGAAAACAAUAAACCAAAACACAUCCAUGUUCUUUCUUUCUGCAUCGAUCCCAGCCAAGAACACCUCCAUUUAAUCCAAGAACACCUCCAAAUGGAGGUGUUGUGGUAUUUCAGCUAGCCAUAAAGGGCAGCUACACCCUUUGUUUCUCGUCUUCUUUCCCAUCGAUUUCACAACCCCGAUUGUGCUCCUCCUUCCCUGUCAAAUAAAGCAAACCAAACACCUUCCUUUUGAUUUUCGAUGUUUCUUUUUUCCCUUUCAAACACGGAACUUAAACAUCCAUUUCCCCUAUCGAUUCCUAUCAAACAUCAACACCCAAACAUCCAAUUUCCAAUGAUUUCUAUCAAAAAAAUAGAAACAAAAUAGAAAGAAGAAGAUCAGGGGAGUUUCCGGAGCAGCCCCGUCCACGUACCUUUCAACGAUCGAGAGCAAAUCCCACCGAAGUGGGUGUUUCCCCGGAGCAAACACGGGAGGCGACAGCCCCCUCUGAUCCCUCGACCUCUUUCCUACCGCGACGACGCUGCUGCCCUACCCCCUCCCGUUCUUCCCUUCGGCCCGUCGAACCCAGGAGAACACAUCGGUUUGCGAACCCGAUCGACGAAACCCUUUCUGGCCUCCUUCACUUCGCAACCCGUUAGCCACACCGAACCCUCGUACCUCCCAUUCACACCGAACUACCGUAGAUGCCUUCGCCCUUCGACCUUACUGUUGCUUCCGUGCGUCCUCCUUCCUCUCUCGAUCGAAAACCUCGCCCCUUGCAAGCUUUCAUUCGUGUUUUCUUCUUGAUUCUUCCUGAUCAGACGAGGACCGAACCCCCAAAUGAUCUUUUUUUCCCGAUUUCUGUUGAAUCCGUGUGUUCCAUUCGUCUGUUUCGUUCGUAAUACUAUAUCUGUCUCUGCUUUUUUUUUUUGCCCGAUCAGUCCAAGUGACGAGGGCAUAAAGCCCUAAUCCUCCUAAGCUUGAGCCAUUAAACACAUCUAGCCCCUCCAUUUGCAGCUUUAAUUUAAAAUCAGCCUAUUUGCAAAUGGUUAGUCAAAACAGCCCUUAUUUGAAUUAUCUAGCCAAAUAAACCCCUCAAUUGAAGGAGGCCAAAAAUUUUGAUUUAAACCAUUACCAUAAGUUCCUAUAGUUUCUUUGUGAUUUAAAUAGUCCCUUUGUUUCUAAAAAAACUGCAUUAUUAGAGGCCAGAAAUACUUGAUCAAAAAUAGUCCCUUUGUGAUUUAAACCAUUACCAUAAGUUCCUAUAGUUUCUAAAAAAAAAUUGAACACAAUAAUCCUAUUAUUUUAUUUGUUACAAAACAAACCCUUUCGGUUAAAAAUAUUACACAAAAACCCGAGGGUUUGUUGUAGCUCAAAAGACAUCAAGAUGUGGGUUCUCACGUGAAGUUUCACGAAAAUGAAACCAAUUCCAUACAAAUCGAACUCACACUUCAAUGGUGAAUUUCUACGGCCCCUCUUUUACUGUUUUAAUAUUUGGGAGAGAAUACAUGUGUGUCUAUUAAAGUUUUGAUGAUUUUAUGUUUUAUAUACAAAAUAGCAACAUACUUUAUUAUUGG
rnacentral:lncRNA from 1 species